UACCCGCAGCACAAGUGGUGGUCAUUAUUACUGGGCCUAAAGCGUCCGUAGCUGGCUUGUUAGAUGCCUGGGUAAAUCGAUGCGCUCAACGUAUCGAAUUCCGGGUGGACCGGCAAGCUCGAGACCGGGAGAGGUGUAGGCUACUCGAGGGGUAGGGGUAAAAUCCUGUAAUCCUUCGGGGAGGACCAGUGGCGAAGGCGUCACAUUAGAACGGCUCCGACAGUGAGGGACGAAGCCCUGGGGCGCAAACCGG
rnacentral:rRNA from 1 species